rnacentral:rRNA from 1 species
UGCCAGCCGCCGCGGUAAGACGGAGGGUGCAAGCGUUGUUCGGAUUUACUGGGCGUAAAGGGCGUGUAGGCAGAUAUGCAAGCCGGGGGUGAAAUACCUGGGCUCAACCCAGGACGGUCUUCCGGAACUGCAUAUCUUGAGAGAGUCAGAGGCAGGUAGAAUUCCAGGUGUAGAGGUGAAAUUCGUAGAUAUCUGGAGGAAUACCGGCGGCGAAGGCGGCCUGCUGGGGCUCUUCUGACGCUGAGGCGCGAAAGCGUGGGUAGCAAACAGGAUUAGAUA